rnacentral:siRNA from 1 species
UGAACAGUACUCUUGUAACGUGUU